rnacentral:rRNA from 1 species
GACGAACGCUGGCGGCGUGCUUAACACAUGCAAGUCGAACGGAAAGGCCCUGCUUUUGUGGGGUGCUCGAGUGGCGAACGGGUGAGUAACACGUGAGUAACCUGCCCUUGACUUUGGGAUAACUUCAGGAAACUGGGGCUAAUACCGGAUAGGAGCUCCUGCUGCAUGGUGGGGGUUGGAAAGUUUCGGCGGUUGGGGAUGGACUCGCGGCUUAUCAGCUUGUUGGUGGGGUAGUGGCUUACCAAGGCUUUGACGGGUAGCCGGCCUGAUAGGGUGACCGGCCACAUUGGUACUGAGAUACGGCCCAGACUCCUACGGGAGGCAGCAGUGGGGAAUAUUGCACAAUGGGCGGAAGCCUGAUGCAGCAACGCCGCGUGCGGGAUGACGGCCUUCGGGUUGUAAACCGCUUUCGCCUGUGACGAAGCGUGAGUGACGGUAAUGGGUAAAGAAGCACCGGCUAACUACGUG